GAUUCAUUGGGCGUAAAGCGCGCGUAGGCGGCUUGUUAAGUCAGAUGUGAAAACCGGGGGCUCAACCCGCGGCCUGCAUCUGAAACUGGCAGGCUUGAGUCUGGUAGAGGAAAGUGGAAUUCCUGGUGUAGCGGUGAAAUGCGCAGAUAUCAGGAGGAACACCAGUGGCGAAGGCGGUCUUUCUGGGCCACGACUGACGCUGAGGCGACGAAAGCGUAGGGGAGC
rnacentral:rRNA from 1 species